UUUCCUGUUUUAGUCCCGCCCAUCUGCUUCCUCUUCAGAUGGGGUGGCUAUGCUAACAGGAUUGAGAAACUGUCUGCCAUUGUCUGAAAGGGUUGAGCGGACUUCAUUCCGCCACGUCUAUAUGAAAUGAUGGCACAUUUUUUU
rnacentral:snoRNA from 1 species